rnacentral:rRNA from 1 species
UGGGGGAUAUUGCGCAAUGGGGGAAACCCUGACGCAGCAACGCCGCGUGAAGGAUGAAGGUCUUCGGAUUGUAAACUUCUUUUAUCAGGGACGAUAAUGACGGUACCUGAUGAAUAAGCUCCGGCUAACUACGUGCCAGCAGCCGCGGUAAUACGUAGGGAGCAAGCGUUAUCCGGAUUUACUGGGUGUAAAGGGCGUGUAGGCGGGACUGCAAGUCAGAUGUGAAAACUAUGGGCUUAACCCAUAGCCUGCAUUUGAAACUGUAGUUCUUGAGUGGUGGAGAGGCAAAUGGAAUUCCUAGUGUAGCGGUGAAAUGCGUAGAUAUUAGGAAGAACACCAGUGGCGAAGGCGAUUUGCUGGACACUAACUGACGCUGAGGCGCGAAAGCGUGGGGAGCAAACAGGAUUAGAUACCCUGGUAGUCCACGCCGUAAACGAUGGAUACUAGGUGUGGGGGGUCUGACCCCCUCCGUGCCGCAGUUAACACAAUAAGUAUCCCACCUGGGGAGUACGAUCGCAAGGUUGAAACUCAAAGGAAUUGACGGGGGCCCGCACAAGCGGUGGAGUAUGUGGUUUAAUUCGAAGCAACGCGAAGAACCUUACCAGGUCUUGACAUCCCGAUGACCGGUGUAGAGAUACACCUUCUCUUCGGAGCAUCGGUGACAGGUGGUGCAUGGUUGUCGUCAGCUCGUGUCGUGAGAUGUUGGGUUAAGUCCCGCAACGAGCGCAACCCUUGUUGCUAGUUGCUACGCAAGAGCACUCUAGCGAUACUGCCGUUGACAAAACGGAGGAAGGUGGGGACGACGUCAAAUCAUCAUGCCCCUUAUGACCUGGGCCACACACGUACUACAAUGGCGGUUAACAGAGGGAAGCAAUACCGCGAGGUGGAGCAAAUCCCUAAAAGCCGUCCCAGUUCGGAUUGCAGGCUGCAACCCGCCUGCAUGAAGUCGGAAUCGCUAGUAAUCGCGGAUCAGCAUGCCGCGGUGAAUACGUUCCC